rnacentral:rRNA from 1 species
CGUUCAGGGGUAAACCUGCGAAACUCGAAUGAACGAACGGGGAGAUUCAUCGUCAUUCGGCCGGCGGCUUCGUUGUUGCGCGAUGCGCGUCCCUCAGGCGAUCUCGGUCGUCGGUGCGAGACGCGCACGCGCGCGGCGUCAGCAUCACGUCGGUCGACGGCGUGCACUUCUCCCUUAGUACUGCAUCGCGACCCGCUCGAUGUCGGUCUAAGCGCCAUACGGGAGCCCGCGGCUUGCCGCGGACCGUUACGGUCGCCGACCGGCUGUCGGGCGGUAGUUGACAUGAAACGCGCACGCGCUUGUCGCGUCCGGCCCGACGCAAGGUCGCCGCCCGGCCGCUGUGACGCCAUUUAUGUGCGAACAGUGUGCCGGCGGCGCCUGCUCAUCGCAGCCGUGUCGUCUCGGACGUGCGUGUAUCGAGUCUGCGGUGUUUUUGUUUCGGGCACUCGCAGGACCCGUCUUGAAACACGGACCAAGGAGUCUAGCAUGUGUGCGAGUCACUAGGUUGAACAAAACCGAAAGGCGUAACGAAAGUGAAGGCGCGCGCUUGUCGCGCGCUCGGGGAGGAUGACGGUCGGCUCUCGCGGCUGCCGUCCGCACUCCCGAGGCGUCCCGUUCGCAAUCUGUCGAUGUGGGCGCGCUCAGAGCACAAAUGCUGGGACCCGAAAGAUGGUGAACUAUGCCUGGUCAGGUCGAAGUCAGGGGAAACCCUGAUGGAGGACCGUAGCGAUUCUGACGUGCAAAUCGAUCGUCGGAACUGGGUAUAGGGGCGAAAGACUAAUCGAACCAUC